GUAAGGGCAUUACAAUGGAGACAAUAAAGCCCCAGAAGGUAAGGGCAUUACAAUGGAGACAAUACAGUCCCAGAAGGUAAGGGCAUUACAAUGGAGACAAUACAGUCCCAGAAGGUAAGGGCAUUACAAUGGAGACAAUAAAGCCCCAGAAGGUAAGGGCAUUACAAUGGAGACAAUAAAGCCCCAGAAGGUAAGGGCAUUACAAUGGAGA